AGGAAGGACGACCGAGAAGAAAAGAAAAGGGGGGUUGGGGAGAGAAGAAAAAAAAAGCCGGGAGAGGGAGAAGAAAGAAAUCUUCCUUGUGCAGAAGGAGGCGUAAUGUGGCUUAGAGGUUGCCAAAGCAAAAAAAGGUUAGGAAAGGCAGAUGCUGUCCCCGUUUGACAGAGGAAGAAACUGAAGCACAGAAGAAUAACAGAUCCGUCUGUGAGCCCACACUCCCUAGAACAGUACCCUGUGAUGAUCCAGAGGUGUGUGACCUUGACCCCAGAAGUUAACACUGAGUGACUGAGCCUGAUUCUUCAUUAACAAAAGUUCAACUCAGACCUGAGGACUUUACACCUUAGUGUAUGUAACAAUCACCUUUACAAGCAGAGUCCUGCAGCCCAUCUCUAGAAAUUCUGAUUAAUUGGGUUUGGUGAGUAGCCCAGGAAACAGCCUGAGGAGACACUGAUGCAGGUGGUGCAGGCACCACACUCCAGGUAUAAAAUUUAUACCCAUGUGUGGUGAACCCAAACCAAGCAGGAAAAAUGGCCUGACUGGCUCCGGGCCCUGGAGAGGAUGGGAAAGCUGAGCGGGGGAAGAAGUGGCCACCUGUGGACCCCUCAGCUUCCCUGGUAAGGCGGUAAGAGCGUCUGGUGCCUCUGGACGUUCCAGAAACCGCAUCUUAGAAACAUCUCCUCACUUCUCAGCGUCAAGGUUUUAAGAGACCCCUGGGACACCGUUUUCCCCGAGGAAGACCCUGCCGGGGUGAGGACUCGAAGCUUGAGUACCUGGAAGCAGGCUGGGAGCCCCCAGGCUGUGGCCCUCGGCAGCUGCUAGAAAGCCGAGGUCCGUCUUCCCGCGAUGCCGUUCCUGGUCCUGAGACGGGUCGGGAGUGUGCUGGUGCAGCUCCAGUUCCUGACGUCCUGCUCUGAAGUCCUGAGCCCCGCUUCCCCAGGGAGGAGGAAACCCAGAAGAGCAAAACGCUUGCCAGAAAGUGUUUAGGUUCUGUGGCCGCUGCUGUCGUUGUGUUUGGAAGAGGGGCUGGCGGGGCGCAGAGAGGACAAGAGGCGGCAGCUGCCGCCACCUACCGUGCCUGAGCCUGAGCCUGAGCCCGUGGCCUUGAGGGCAGCUGCGACCUCGCCCUUCAUUUCCCUUUGCCCCGCGGGCAUCUCUUCCCGGUCGCGGCUGCCCUCGGUGAGUCACCGUGAGCCCCCCUGGCUCCUGCACCUGCACGAAGAGGCUCACAUCUCAUGGAGGGCUGGGACGGAGCAUUUCAACUCUGACCCUUACUUCUCAGAGUGAGAGAGCCGGCCUCCGGUCCAGGGGGGCAGAGCCGGCCUCCGGUCCAGACCCACUGAAGCAGAACUUGCAGGGAACCAGAGCCACUGGUGACUCUGCACAGCAAGGCCUGCAGCCAGCGCCAGUGACAGCACCCCCCCCAAACCGGGGCUCUGCAAGGAGCCAGGAGCACAGGUGUGUGAGCUCUCCCGCUUUUGACUUUAAAAUAGCAUCUUUGCAGAGCAACUCCUAGCAUGUGAAUCACAGGGCGGACUUAACAGCACUGCCCUCUCUGACUCUCACGUUGACCAGCAGGGCAGGCACUGUCCUUCCCGUUUUGCAGAGGAAGCAUGGAGUGCAGAGGUGAGCCGGGCUGCGGGGCCGAGUGUCAGGUGGGGUCAGGCCUGAAUCCCAAGGCCCCCAUCCAGUCACUGUCCCACGGGGAGUGGGAGCGCCUGUGGACGGGGAGGGAGCGGGCGUGUGCGUGGGAAGCAGGCCUGGUAUGUGCUGGGCACCGCGGUGCGGCUGUGAGUCCCACGUCACAGAUGCGGGCCGGGGCCGGGCUGGGGGUGGAGGUCCCCUGGCUGAGACCACAGAGCCUGGGAAUUGCGGGGCUGGGACUCCCACCCUCCAGGCCCUUGUCCCCGCGUGGCGGGGGGCAUCCCGCAGCCCCCCUCACUCCAGCGCAAGCCUGGCACAAGCCCUUUCACGGCCUGGUCUCCCUAAACCCCCGCAAGACCCUCCGGGUCAGGCCACAGCGCUCUCCUGCCUCACCUGCCGGGAGACUGCCCUGUCACCCAUCCUGUCAAAACAGCCAGGAGGCGGGAGCCAGAAUCUGGACACUGGCCUGUCUGACGUCAAAGUCUCAUCUCUGUCCUGAGUUACUUCCUAAGGCUUUCUGAAAGUGUAUCAAAUCCAUUUAAUUAUCUUCCGGAGGAAUGCUUGCUUUAAAAAAGGAAACAUUGACAAUGGGUAUUUUACAAGAGUUCGAAACAUAACAUUUCGAAAUAAAA